GGGAAACAGCAUGGGCAAAGCCUAGUGUUUUGAGUUGAAUUCAUAUGCUAAUGUCCUGACCCCCAGUUCCUCAGGACAUGACCUUAUUUGGAAAUAGGACCGUAGCAGGUGUAAUUAGUUCAGAGGAAGGUGCACUGGAGCAGAGGGGACCCUGAUCCAACAUGACUGAGCACAGGAGUUCUCCAGCUCUAUGGGCUAAGGAUCUGGCAUUGCCUCUGCCCUGAUGGGGUUUGAUUCCUGGCCUGGGAACUUCUGCAUGCUCCAGGCAUAGCCAAGGAAAAAACCAAUAUGAUUGAGCACAGACACACAGAAAAGGCCACAUGAAGAUGAAGGCACAGGAGUUCCCACUGUGGUUCAGUGGGUUAAGGAUUCAGCUUUGCUGCAGCUGUGGCUCGAUUCUAUCCCUGGGAACGUCCAUAUGCUGUGAGUAUGGAAGGCGGGGUGGAAUAAAAGAAUGAAGGCAGAGAUAGUGCGUCCAGAAGCCAAAGAAGGCUAGCAAUGGCCAGCGAACCACGAGAAGCUGGGAAAGGUACAGAACAGGGUCUGCCUCCCAGCCCUCAGCAGGAACCAACCCGGCGACCACCUGGAUCUCACACUUCCAGACUCCGGACUGAGAGACAGAAAAUUGCUGUCGUUUAAGCCACCCAGUCUGUGGUACUUUAUGACAGCAGCCCCAGCAAACGUUUUCCCAGCAUGGAGAACGUGCAACCACAAGUUCGGAGAAGAGCGCAUGAUUCAGCAAGAAACGCUUGCGCUAGACUCCAUCUUGGGUAAAAGAUGCAUGCGCACACACAGGGCAAGGCCCUGAGUCGGGCCAAAUGUGGACUCAAGACCAGACAAAGCAAGAUGAUUGGCCGGAAGAAACGUGGAAGAACUGCCCCCAUCCAUAGAGGAGGGCAGAGCUGAUUGCCCAGGCAAGAGCAAAGAGGUGACACAGACUCUAACUUGCAGAUAUAUUCUACUGGAAUGCCUGCUCUUGAAGCCUUCGGCAAUUCUGUGAGCAGUCCGUCUGCCCUGAGGCUGCCAUACCAUGAGGACUCAAUCUAGCCCCUGUGGCGUGACCACAUGGAGCGGCUCCAAAACUGCAUGAUUACGGAGGGAUGCUCAGUUGGCCCUCAGUGCUGCCAGACCCACCCUCCACGCAACAGUGGCUUCUGCCCCCACCCUGCUAUUCCGGUUCAUCUUCUGACUACAGAUGCAUGCACAAAAGACCUGCCCACCCCCAGCCAGAAACAUCCAGCUGAGCCUUUCCCAAACCCCGGACCUAUAAGUCAUCAGCAAACAAAAGGGUUGUUUUAAGUCGUGGCGCAGCGGAAACAAAUCCGACUAGGAACCAUGAGGUUUCAGGUUUGAUCCCUGGCCUUGCCCAGUGGGUUAAGGAUCCGGCAUUGCCAUGAGCUGUGGUGUAGGUCGCAGGCACGGCUCGGAUCUGGCAUUGGUAUGGCUGUGGCGUAGGCCAGCGGCUACAGCUCCGAUUUGACCCCUAGCCUGGGAAUCUCCACAUGCCAUGGAUGUGGCCCAAAAAAGACAAAAAAUGAAAAUAAAAUAAAAUGAAAUAAAAUGGUAA
rnacentral:lncRNA from 1 species